AGGAGUGCACUUCAGACUCCCUGGACACUCAAUAACAGACUUAAAAGUGGCCAUUCUUCAACAAAAAUACUUCAAGACAGACUUCAACGAGAAACUGCAGAACUGGAAUUAAUUUGCCAACUUGACGCCAUCAAAUUAGGUCUGAAUUAAACUGGGAGUAGUU